CUCGAUUAGUCGAUUAAUCGAAAGUCGACUUACGUAUCCCUAGUGUGUGUGCCUUUCGAAGGGAAAGUUUAACGUUGACAAAAAUACGCCGCCGUUCGCACGAAAAACACAAAAAAAUACACUUAAAAUAGAAAUUGUUGCUGUUUUGUGUUGUUUAUAUUCCAAAACAAAUAAUAGUUUAUUGAAAAAACAAGGAAUAUGUUUAAAAAUCAACAAGUACAAUAGCGUUCAGGCUAUUUGGCAACAAGUGAAUGAAGAGAUAAAACAAACACACUCACACAUACGAUUUAUUAACGAAAAGAAGAAGAAGAGGAGCAAGAUAUAAUGAAGAUGAUGAUGAUUAAACAAGUAAUUUUAGACAUGUUGCGGCAACCAACCAGCACUCCUCGCUGAUGAUACAACAUUGUUGCUGUAGUAAUUGAGUGCCUUUACGUGCGUCGCCGUCGUCGGGCGAAUGAGUGUAAUUUUUAGUAGAGAAAAAGGCAAUAAAUUCCAAAAGAAAAAAACCAAAAACAAAUCAAGAAAAUUUAAGAGAGUGACCGAGCGAAUGACCAGUGGGUUAUAAUUAACGUGUUCUUGUUGUUGUUUUUACACCCAUUUUUUGCUGUUGAAAAAAAAA
rnacentral:sRNA from 1 species